rnacentral:rRNA from 1 species
AUGCGGGGGAUGGACCUCGUGCUGGGGGAGGAACGUCGCCGAGAAGCCAUGCUACAAGUGGCGAGGUACCAACAAGCACUGCGGCGAUAUCACUGCCGCAACAUCCGCCCCAGAACUCUCGAGGUAGGAGACCUCGUGCUCAGGCGGGUUCUCUCGAGGGAGGGGCUGCACAAGCUCUCUCCCAUGUGGGAGGGCCCGUUCAAAGUUGUUCAUGUUUCCAGGCCCAGCUCCGCGCGCUUGGAGACUCGGGAGGGGGUGCCAGUCCAGAAUGCAUGGAACAUCCAGCACCUCCGGAGGUUCUACCCCUAA